rnacentral:misc_RNA from 1 species
GUAUUAGAUUUCAGCUUGUCAAAAGCUUACUGUAGAUCAUUCUGAAAUUGUUAUCGGUGUUUGAUAAAAACAUAGACAAAUCAGGAAUUACACAGAUUGCUCUGCAACUCUGUUUGUCUACUUGAGUGUGCACAGUGGGGUAAGAGAAGGAGAUUUUGUAGAGUGCACAUGCAAACCAGUGAAGGAGUGCCAGCACAUCUUUAAAAAUUGAUAAUGAUCCUUCCGCAGGUUCACCUACGGAAA